CCGACCUUAGCUCAGUUGGAAGAGCGCGAGACUGUAAUUGGUUAAGGUCCAUCUUGAGGUCGCCUGUUCGAGCCAGGCAGGUCGGA